rnacentral:lncRNA from 1 species
UCCCCUUUAUUUUAUUCGACACCAUACCAAACGGAUCAACCAACAGGAAUCACAAGUUCACAACAUGAGACAUCGAAUGGAUUGAGUAAAGAGGACUCAUUGCGCGCGCACAUAAUCUGCGGUGAAACCAGCAAACUUAACGGAUUUGAACGGCACCCCUUCGGACGAUAUCGUCGGUGAGCCUCCGGAACGCCGUGGACGACGACCCGCCCUCCUCCACGGCCUUCCGGCAAACGACCCUCGUCUCCGCCGCCUUCGCCCUCGCCUUCCUCCCCUCCUCCGACGCGUCGUCCAUCAGCGACCUCACCGCGCGCUCCAGCUCCGCCGCCUCCACGAAGUUGUCCCGCCUCCUGUCCAUGCCGAGCGGCACGGCGACGCCCAGGACGGACACCAGCAGGAACGCGUUCGCGUGCUGCUCGUUGUCGAGCGGCCAUGGCAGCAUCGGCACGCCGAACCAGAGGCUCUCGAGGAUGGAGUUCCACCCGCAGUGCGUCACGAACCCGCCCACGGCGGCGUGGGCGAGGAUGUCCUUCUGCGGCGCCCGCGUCGGCCACACGAGCCCCCUCCCCUUGGUCUUGUCCAAGAACCCCUCGGGGAGGAGCUCGUCGAGCAUGGCGUCCGUGGGCACCCGUUGCCCCGGCCGGCUGUCCUUGGGCGGGCCGCGCAGCACCCACAGGAAGCGGUGCUCGCUCCGCUCCAGCGCGGCGGCUAUCUCCCGCACCUUGGGCGGCGGCAGGAGGCCCUUGCUGCCGAAGCAGACGAGCAGCACGGACGCCGGGGGCUGCGCGUCCAGCCACCGCACGCACUCGUGCGGCUGCUCCGGCGGCGGGGUGAGCGCGAUCACCGGGCCGAUCGCGUACACCGUCGGCGCGGGCACCCCGCGCGUGCACCGGCCGUCGGCGAUGGCGUCGAUGACGCUCUGCUCGAGCUCCGCCGCCGUGUUGACGAUGAAGCCGGUGGCCUUCAUCAUCGUCGCCGGGAGCACGGACGGCGGCACCGGCGGCAGCCCGGGAAUGUUCAGCGCGCCAUCCAUCUCCGAGAAUUCGCCGGGCACCUCCUCGUCGAGCACCGGCGAGUACAGCAGCAGCUCCAGCAUGACGGCGCUGGAGGACGGCACGCCGAGCUCGGCGGCCACGUCGAGCGCCGGCGUGCAGAAGAUGUCGGUGACGAGCGCGGCCACGGGGCAAUCGAGCCCGGCGAUGGCGGCCCUCACGUGGGGCCCGUGGCUCCGCAGUAUGAGGGAGACCCACUCCUCGAUGCCGGUGUGGACGGUCGGCAUGUCGACGGCGGGGAGGUGCCGGAAGCUGAUGUCGUCGGCGCCGGAGGCCUCCUCGCGCUUCACCUGGGCCGCGAUGUCGACCGCCGCCUCCGGCGUCGGCGCCGGCAUGAGGAGCACGGUGACCGACAGCGCGCCGCCGCUGCCGCGGAGCAGCCGCUUGCCGGCCUCGAUCAUGGGCAUGAAGUGGCCGGCGCCCCACACGGGCAGCAACACCACCGUCGGCUUCGCCAUCGGUUGGAUUCGAAUUCGAACGAUGCUUCUGCUGCACGCUGUGCGGCUGCUUUGUAUGAAUCAGAAUGUGUUCUUGUGCUUUUAUAUGUAAGCAACUUCUG